AUGCUGCUGCGUUGCGCGCCUGCUAUAUGUUUGCAACGCCGCACCUAUACCAUGUAUUCUCAGCCUAGCCAGUUACAAGGAGGAUUGUCACAGAGCAUGGCCUUAUGGAAGCAUUCUCGCUCACAUGCAGUCAGUUAUCAAACAAAAAUGGGUUUAGUUAGUCUUUCUCCUAAGAGCACAACAUCAUCUCAUCUGCAAAAUGGGACAUGCUUUGCCUGCUUGGAGCAACAGUCUAAACACGGAUUAUCAGCGAGAGAUCGUAUCCUACAUGCUAAGCUUGAUAUGGCCUCACAUCACGGGUUUUCUAGUAUUAGCUGGAAGUCGAGAACGACGAGAAGUUUAGCACAAAAAAUAGGGGGUACAGGCGCUGGACUUUCCUUGAGUUUCACAGUUGCUGGGAUAGCAAAUGCUGGGGGUCCGGUGGAUAAUGACAUUGAUUCCAAAUCAUCCUCUAGUUGUGCUCAUGGGAAGAAAGUUUACACAGAGUAUUCUGUCACCGGCAUUCCUGGGGAUGGUAGAUGCUUGUUCCGUUCUGUGGCUCAUGGUGAGUGCAUUAGGUCAGGGAAACCCAUACCUAGUGAGAAUCUUCAAAGGAAGCUCGCUGAUGAUUUAAGAACACUGGUUGCUGAUGAGUUUAUCAAGAGAAGGACAGAGACUGAAUGGUUUAUUGAGGGUGAUUUCGAUACAUAUGUCUCUCAGAUAAGGAAGCCACAUGUGUGGGGAGGAGAGCCAGAAUUGCUCAUGGCUUCUCACGUUCUUCAGUUUAAUUUUAAAACUUGGCCCUUCUUUGCAACAGUGAGGUGCCAAAGCAGUAAGAAUAAACAUCAUUUCGUUUUCAGGAUGCCGAUCACUGUUUAUAUGCACGAAGAAGCAGCGGGUGGUUUGAUAGCGAUCGCGGAGUAUGGCCAAGAGUACGGGAAAGAAGACCCAAUCCAAGUCCUCUAUCAUGGCUGUGGCCACUAUGAAGCGCUGCAUAUACCAGGAAACGCCGAACCCAGGUCAAGACUGUAA
rnacentral:rRNA from 1 species